rnacentral:rRNA from 1 species
GAUGAACGCUGACAGAAUGCUUAACACAUGCAAGUCAACUGGAACGUCGGUUUGGGUGGCGGACGGGUGAGUAACGCGUAAAGAACUUGCCUCACAGCUAGGGACAACAUUUGGAAACGAAUGCUAAUACCUGAUAUUAUGAUUAUAUGGCAGCGUAUAAUUAUGAAAGCUAUAUGCGCUGUGAGAGAGCUUUGCGUCCCAUUAGCGAGUUGGAGAGGUAACAGCUCACCAAGGCGAUGAUGGGUAGCCGGCCUGAGAGGGUGAUCGGCCACAAGGGGACGGGGACCCGGCCCUUACUCUUCCGGGAGGCAGCGGUGGGGAUUGUUCGCCAAUGGACCGAGCGUCUGAUCCAGCAAUUCUGUGUGCACGAUGAAGUUUUUCGGAAUGUAAAGUGCUUUCAGUUGGGAAGAAAAAAAUGACGGUACCAACAGAAGAAGUGACGGCUAAAUACGUG